ACGCUCGACACCUACGGGAGGCAGCAGUGAGGAAUAUUGGUCAAUGGGUCGCUAGCCUGAACCAGCCAAGUAGCGUGAAGGAUGAAGGCUCUAUGGGUCGUAAACUUCUUUUAUAUAAGAAUAAAGUGCAGUAUGUAUACUGUUUUGUAUGUAUUAUAUGAAUAAGGAUCGGCUAACUCCGUACCAGCAGCCGCGGUAAUCUGAGCGGGCUGGCAAGGC
rnacentral:rRNA from 1 species